CUGGGGCGGCAGCGACGACUGGAGCAACCUGAGCAUAGGUGGUCACUUGGGACACAACUGGGGCAGCGGCAACAGUAGCGACGGCUGGGGCAGCAGCCACAACUGGAGCAGACUGACCAGGCUGGCGACAGCCGGAGCGGCAG
rnacentral:lncRNA from 1 species